GCUUACGACGAUAGCACGUUGGCUGCACGCCAUCCCGUCCGUUCUGGCAAGUUAAGCAACGUUGAGUCCAGUUAGUUUUUUAGAUCAGAGACGGCGUGGGAAUUUUAAAUUUUGUAACCU
rnacentral:rRNA from 1 species